rnacentral:rRNA from 1 species
AUACGGAGGAUGCGAGCGUUAUCCGGAUUUAUUGGGUUUAAAGGGUGCGCAGGCGGGCGAUUAAGUCAGCGGUGAAAGGCUCGGGCUCAACCGGAGCAGUGCCGUUGAUACUGGUUGUCUUGAAUGCGGUCAAGGCCGGCGGAAUGUGGCGUGUAGCGGGGAAAUGCAUAGAUAUGCCACAGAACACCGAUAGCGAAGGCAGCUGGCCGGGCCUGCAUUGACGCUGAGGCACGAAAGCGUGGGGAUCGAACAGGAUUAGAUACCCUGGUAGUCCACGCUGUAAACGAUGGACACUCGUUGUCGGCGACAGACAGUCGGCGGCCAAGCGAAAGUGAUAAGUGUCCCACCUGGGGAGUACGGUCGCAAGGCUGAAACUCAAAUGAAUUGACGGGG